UAAAGACAUGUAAAUAUCCCGAUAAAUACUACCAACAGAUAUAAAUUCAAAGAAUUUGGCGGUGUCUUAAAUACUCAGGGGAACCUGUUGCUUAAAUCGAUACUCCACGAAAAUCAAUCCAAUUUUUGAAUAAUCAGCCUGUGUACUGCUGUCGUCAGUAAACCUUUAAGAGAAAGUUUACAAAAAUAAAACCAUUUAUUUACGUCAAGUCAAAGUGCAGCCAAUAAAUUGGAGCUAAAUGGGUUACAAUCUUUAAUAAAGAUAACGGAAUUAAUUAAUAAAAAAUUAAUAAAGGUGGACUUGAAAGUAAUAUGUAAACAAUGGACAUAUAAAUAAUAUACCUAAGACAUGCACACAUCGCCCGUCGCUCU
rnacentral:rRNA from 1 species